AGUCUGCUCUUCACACGGAUACCACGAAUGCCACGGUGGCCUCCUGAAGACGGAGUCUGGUCUCACAUUCCUCCAGCUUCCUGUGAGGCUUCCCCAAAAAUGCAAAUUCAAUCACAAGGCGCCUGGGCUGACGUCUCCCCUCCUAUUUCCGGCUUUGCCCUUUGGAGCCUGAGGAGCAAGGGUAGAAUGAGGAUCGUGAGGUUCUUCAGAGGCAGUUACUCACGAGGUCACAGCGCAGAAACGGCAAGAAAUGUCAGGACAACUAUGGAUGUGAAGGAUGGGAGAGGGGCCUCCUUCCGCAUGAGGUCCCCAGAGGUAUUUGUCUCCAUCUAGAAACUGAGGGGCAUUUGUCUCCAUCCAGGACUUGGGGGGCCUCCUUCUCCAUCCAGGACUGGGGUGUGUCCUUCUGCAUCCAGGACAGGGGGACAUCCUUCUCCAUCCAUGAUUCAGAGUUCAUCCUUCUCUAUCCAGGAGAGGGGUUCAUCCUUCUCCAUCUAGGACUUGAGGGACAUCCUUCUCCAUCCAGGACUGAG
rnacentral:lncRNA from 1 species